UCCAACACUUAACACACACUGUUCACACACAAAACUUGCUCUCUAAUCUUCCCUCCCUCUCCCGCCCGUCGCGGCAUAAGCAAAGCAGAUCGAGGAUUCGAGACUCUCAAGAGUGCCUUCCAACUCUUCGUUCGUUUCUCUCUCUGGAACCUAAUCUCAGACUCGAAUUACUUUUGUUUUUUGUUAUGAACUCCGCACUUCUCUUUUCUGGUCUCUAGAUUUCGAAAGAAACCUCUUUUGCCUUCCUUCACGCAGUUCUUAUUGGCUUGUUCUUGCUGAUUCGCUGCGUCGCACUGCUUCGCAUUGAGAUGGGUGCGAAGCCUCGAGAAGCGCAUGAUUGGGGGCUCCGUUACACGCGAGUUUGAUUGAUCUCAUCGGUUCUUUCUUUCCAACGGCUCGUCAGUCGUGCUCGGUCACUUCAAUCCUUCUACAGAUACAUGCUGGCCUCUCUUUCUCUCCUCUGUUCCAUGUCCAGGCCCUAGGUCCAGGGAAGUUUUAUUGCCUUUCUAGGGCUCGCAAUUAUUGGGCUUUGGUUUUCGUGUUAUUUACUAUAACUGGUGUGGGUCCUCGCCCAUGUAUCAGGAAUAGCUCGGUUUCGCUCAUGCUCAUCUAAGGGACGUGCGUUGGUCAUUUUCUCAAACAGUGUUGGCCGAGAUGACCGUCUUCUCGGUCUGUUCUCCUUGGAUUUUAGAAGCCCGUAUUGACCAAUUUUGCUUGUUCCUGGAAACACUUUCUGUCCAAGUGUUCUUUGUUAGAAGCAUUUCCUUGAGUUUAUAGAUGUUUUUCAAGUAUUUGAUUGAUUGGGGUUGCUAUUGAAUUGUGGUUUUCUUGACCAAUUUCUUUGUUAUUUAUAGUAUAUAGUGUAUACUGUAUAGGGAGGCGAAUAUAUAUAGAUAUACAUUUAGAGAGAGAGAGAGAGAGAGAGAGAGAGAGAGAGAGAGAGACUAAUUUCUGUGUACAGGACACUUUUGAAGAAUUUGGGUUUUGGAAUUUCGAUUGAGAUCAGCACUGACGUGUUUUCUUUGGGGGUAUAUGCGAAGCGAGCUUUGGUGUUGACUGAAAGUGAGUUUAAAGUGAGGUUGCGUGAUUAUUUAUGUCUUUAGAGAAGUGCUUAAAACCAUCGAGGGGAAGUUGAGAGUUUUACACAAGAAAAAUUGGGGUCCGUUGAAUUUUCUUUGAUCAUGAUUGAGACAAGUUAUGGAUAGAAGUGAGCUCCCUUUAGUGCCCGAAUGGCUGAAAAACAGUGGAAGUGUCGCUGGUGGGGUCGGCACAGACCUUCAAUUUUCAUCAUCUUCGUUGCACUCAGAUGAUCAUCACAUAUCGAAGCACACAAGAAAUAGAUCAUCCUUGAGUGACGGCGAUCAUGAAAUUGGUCAUUUAUUUGCUUCAGAUCAAGCCACUUCCAUCAAUUUUCGCCGGAGUUAUAGUAGUAACAGUUCUCCCCACUCACUGUCUUACAGUAGUUUUGGCAGAGGCCACUGUUAUAGGGAUUGGGAGAACAUUGAUGACUACCCUGAGAAGUGCAAGUUGGUUUUGGGUAACCACAGGUGGCGUGACUAUUCUGAUCCUCUUGGUAGCAUCUUACCAAAUAGGUCUCAGAAGGAUAUUUUGCAACAUUCACAGUCUAUUAUUACAAGAAAAUGUGGUGACACGUGGCCCAGGAAAGUAGCUGGUGACUCAAAUUAUGCUAAAAGCAAACACAGCAAUGGUGAUGGUUUGUUUGGUGGUAGUAGUGUUGUUAGCAGUACCAUUAAAAGUGCAUUUGAACGGGAAUUUCCCUCACUCCUAGCUGAAGAGAGACAAGGUGGUUCUGAAAUAGGAAGAGUCUCAUCUUCUGGCUUGAACACUGCCAUUCAGAGUCUGCCAAUUGGCAAUUUGUCCGUGAUUGGUUGUGAUGGCUGGAAGUCGGCUCUAGUAGAGAUGCCUGCAAUUGCUGGAAGCAAUAGCACGGGCACAGCAUUGGGUCAACAAACAAUUUCUGCAUGCUCAGCUUCUGUGUCUCCAACCACAGGGACUGGCCUCAAUAUGGCUGAAACAUUGGCUCAGGGCCAUCCUCCCACUCGUGCACUUCCUCAAUUAUCUAUUGGGAACCAAAGGCUUGAAGAGCUGACCAUGAAGCAAUCUAGGCAAUUGAUUCCCUUGAUACCUUCCAUGCCAAAAGCCUUGGUGCCCAGUCCUUCAGAGAAAUCAAAACCCUAUAUUGGGCAGCAGCAUACAUUCCCCUCUUCACACCCUAUUAAUCAAAUUCCACAUGGAGUGUCUGCUAAAUCUGAUGUUACAAAGAUAUCUGUGGGCAAUCUCUGCAUCCUCAAUUCAUCACGAGAGCUGAAUGGUUUCUCUUUCUCUUCCACUGCUAAGAAUGGCCCGAGUCCUGCUAAUCGAAGCAGAGUAGCUAAUAGUCUACUUGGUCUCACUCCGUCUGCUGCUGGGUCUUCUCUCUCUAAGAACUUAAGCAACAAUUUAAGCCCGGCCAGUGCUGAGCGCAGGCCAAUUGCUAGUCGAACUACUUUGGAGAGGAAAUCAUCGUCUCAAGCUCAGAGCCGGAAUGAUUUCUUCAAAAGUCUUUCGAGAAAGAACUCUUCUGUGAAUCCCUCUUCUGCUGUCCCUGAUCCUGGCCAGGUUGUCUCUGUUGCAGAGAUUUCUGAUAAAUUGGCCACGGUAGCUUUGCGUGAUAUGUCUGUCCCUUUUCAGAGUAGAGAUGCCCUUUCAUUGGAUACUUCUGUUGCAGACUUGUCUGAAAGAAGGGGUGAGAUAGCCCACAGUGGCAAUGCUUGUGAUGCGUCCCAGAGAUGUUUGAGAGAUUCAGAGGAGCACUCCAGCCCUGGCUUGAUUCUUCAUCCAGAUGAGGAGGCUGCAUUUUUACGAUCACUUGGGUGGGAGGAAAAUGCUGGAGAGGAUGAAGGCCUUACAGAGGAGGAGAUCAGUGCUUUCUACAUGAAGAUCUCUUGUGCAGUAUGUGAAAUUGCAGCCAUCAUCAAAACUUCUGCAUGGGAUGCAGGCAAAAGAUAUCAGUGGCACUUAACCCGCACAAGAAAAGUUGGGGCAGUGCUUUGUCUGAAUGGAACUUGUCUGCUGCUGAUAAAGAAUUUUGAUUUGGCAAAUGUCUGGGAAAAGCUAGGAAACCUGAGUAUGACUGCGGAGGUAGUUUUAACUUUUUAUUUUAUUUUUUGGCUUUGAUUCAUAUUGAGAAGAGGAUUUGAGCCAAGUUGGUUUUGAAGUGGAUGUCUGGUGCUGCUGAUGUUUGCUGAAAGCUAUGUGGAACAAGCUGUACCAACAACAAUUGAUGAUGUGCCAGGCCUGCUUAAGGGAAAGCAGGGGAAAUUCAAGGAUAAAAAAGCCAUCACUUCAUAUGCUUUUUUAUACGACACAACUGACUGGCCUGUGUUCAAAAUGCUGCUGCUUGAAACAUAGUUGACAGGGUUUUCAUGGAAGGAUGUUAUAUGCCCAGAUUCUCUGGUGUUGAGUGCCAUAUAUCUCUCUGCCUAUAUAUAUAUACUUAAAAGUGCGUAUAAUGUUAUUACUAUUCAUUACUGUUCAUCGUGAACAGUAACUCUAAA